CUUAGAAGCAGCCAUCAUUUAAAGAAAGCGUAAUAGCUCACUGGUCGAGUCGGCCUGCGCGGAAGAUGUAACGGGGCUAAACCAUGCACCGAAGCUGCGGCAGCGACACUAUGUGUUGUUGGGUAGGGGAGCGUUCUGUAAGCCUGCGAAGGUGACCUGUGAGGGUUGCUGGAGGUAUCAGAAGUGCGAAUGCUGACAUAAGUAACGAUAAAGCGGGUGAAAAGCCCGCUCGCCGGAAGACCAAGGGUUCCUGUCCAACGUUAAUCGGGGCAGGGUGAGUCGACCCCUAAGGCGAGGCCGAAAGGCGUAGUCGAUGGGAAACAGGUUAAUAUUCCUGUACUUGGUGUUACUGCGAAGGGGGGACGGAGAAGGCUAUGUUAGCCGGGCGACGGUUGUCCCGGUUUAAGCAUGUAGGCUG
rnacentral:rRNA from 1 species